ACGCUGAGGCGCGAAAGCGUGGGAGCAAACAGGAUUAGAUACCCUGGUAGUCCACGCCGUAAACGAUGGGCACUAGGUGCCGGGGGGAGCGACCCCUUCGGUGCCGCAGCUAACGCGAUAAGUGCCCCGCCUGGGGAGUACGGCCGCAAGGCUGAAACUCAAAGGAAUUGACGGGGGCCCGCACAAGCGGUGGAGCAUGUGGUUUAAUUCGAAGCAACGCGAAGAACCUUACCUAGGUUUGACAUGCUAGUGAAAGCCUUGUGAAAACAAGGUCCUCCUUCGGGACACUAGCACAGGUGCUGCAUGGCUGUCGUCAGCUCGUGUCGUGAGACGUUGGGUUAAGUCCCGCAACGAGCGCAACCCUUGCCCCGUGUUACUAACAGGUAAAGCUGAGGACUCUCGGGGGACUGCCGGCGUCAAGCCGGAGGAAGGUGGGGACGACGUCAAGUCAUCAUGGCCCUUACGCCUAGGGCGACACACGUGCUACAAUGGCCAGGACAGAGGGCUGCGAAGCCGUAAGGUGAAGCGAAUCCCAGAAACCUGGUCCAAGUUCGGAUUGUGGGCUGAAACUCGCCCACAUGAAGCCGGAAUCGCUAGUAAUCGCGGAUCAGCCAUGCCGCGGUGAAUACGUUCCCGGGCCUUGUACACACCGCCCGUCACGCCAUGGAAGUUGGGAGUGCCCGAAGUCCGCGUCCUAACCGCAAGGGGGGAACGGCCUAAGGCAAGCUCGAUGACUGGGGCGAAGUCGUAACAAGGUAACCAAGGG
rnacentral:rRNA from 1 species